rnacentral:rRNA from 1 species
GUCGAACGGCAGCACGGGUAGCAAUACCUGGUGGCGAGUGGCGCACGGGUGCGUAACGCGUAUGCAAUCUACCUAUAACUGGGGAAUAGCCUUCCGAAAGGAAGAUUAAUACCGCAUAAAAUCACGAAACGGCAUCGUUUUGUGAUCAAACCUCCGGGGGUUAUAGAUGAGCAUGCGUGACAUUAGCUAGUUGGUGGGGUAACGGCUCACCAAGGCUACGAUGUCUAGGGGGUCUGAGAGGAUGAUCCCCCACACUGGUACUGAGACACGGACCAGACUCCUACGGGAGGCAGCAGUAAGGAAUAUUGGACAAUGGCCGCAAGGCUGAUCCAGCCAUGCCGCGUGCAGGAUGAAGGUGCUCUGCAUUGUAAACUGCUUUUGUCUGGGAAUAAACCCCUCUACGUGUAGAGGGCUGAAUGUACCAGAAGAAUAAGGGACGGCUAACUUCGUGCCAGCAGCCGCGGUAAUACGAAGGUCCCAAGCGUUAUCCGGAUUUAUUGGGUUUAAAGGGUGCGUAGGCGGCUUUUUAAGUCAGUGGUGAAAGCCUGAAGCUCAACUUCAGAAUUGCCAUUGAUACUGAAGAGCUUGAGUAUGGUUGAGGUGGGCGGAAUGUGUCAUGUAGCGGUGAAAUGCUUAGAUAUGACACAGAACACCGAUUGCGAAGGCAGCUCACUAAGCCAUAACUGACGCUGAUGCACGA